rnacentral:rRNA from 1 species
GGAAGACCUAAAAAUAGUGGCAAAAAGCCAACCGAGCUUGGUGAUAGCUGGUUACUCAACAAAUGAACCUUAGUUCAACUUUAGGUGCCCAUGGGCCAACUACUUUAACCCACCACCCUUUAACCUAAAGAAAUUCAAUGGGGGUACAGCCCCAUUGAACCGGAGUACAACCCGAAUUGAGAGACACCUACUAAACUUUAACCCUAACAGUAGGCCCCAAAGCAGCCACCAACUAAACGCGUUACAGCUACAACAAAACAAUUUUUACAAUAAUAUAUACCUCCUAAUAUACCACGAGUUAUUCUAUUUUCUAAUAGAAACACCAAUGCUAAAAUUAGUAAUAAGAAACCCUAAUUUCUCUCCGCACCCCCUUAAAUCAGAAUAGAAAAACUACUGAUAAUUAACACAACACGACCUACAACAACUAGCUAACAUGUCAACUAAAAUCUGUUACCCCAACACAGGAGUGCAAAAAAGAAAGGCAAAAAGCCAUAAAAGGAACUCGGCAAACCCUACCGUCCCAACUGUUUACCAAAAACAUAGCCUUUAGCUCAACAAGUAUUAAAGGUCCCGCCUGCCCAGUGACUCUUUAAACGGCCGCGGUAUCCUAACCGUGCAAAGGUA